rnacentral:rRNA from 1 species
AGUGAACGCUGGCGGUAGGCCUAACACAUGCAAGUCGAACGGCAGCACAGUAAGAGCUUGCUCUUACGGGUGGCGAGUGGCGGACGGGUGAGGAAUGCAUCGGAAUCUACUCUGUCGUGGGGGAUAACGUAGGGAAACUUACGCUAAUACCGCAUACGACCUACGGGUGAAAGCAGGGGAUCUUCGGACCUUGCGCGAUUGAAUGAGCCGAUGCCCGAUUAGCUAGUUGGCGGGGUAAGAGCCCACCAAGGCGACGAACGGUAGCUGGCCUGAGAGGGUGAUCAGCAACACGGGAACGGGGAACGGGUCACGACUCUGACGGAGGGAAGCGGUGGGGAAUAUUGGACAAUGGGCGCAAGCCUGAUCCAGCCAUACCGCGUGGGUGAAGAAGGCCUUCGGGUUGUAAAGCCCUUUUGUUGGGAAAGAAAAGCAGUCGGUUAAUACCCGAUUGUUCUGACGGUACCCAAAGAAUAAGCACCGGCUAACUUCGUGCCAGCCGCCGCCGUAAUAC